AUCCAACUGACUAGUCCGAAAUAGGACGGAACGCGCGCCCUGGAU
rfam:Schistosoma rodhaini strain Burundi genome assembly, scaffold: SROB_scaffold0000002